AAUAAGUUUAUUCGUAGGUUUCUAUAUCCAACGUUGACUAUUCAUCUUGUUUGAAACUUUUUUAUGAUUAGUAGUUUUAUUGUUAUUAGAUGACAAAAAUAUCAAUAUUACUUUAUGUGUGACUUUUUUUUUCAUAAAUUUUUCAAAUAAUAUAGGUGGUCAAACAUCAGCAGGCAACUGUAGGUUGACUUUCAG
rnacentral:pre_miRNA from 1 species